AAUGGGUCAGCGACUUAUAUUCUGUAGCAAGGUUAACCGAAUAGGGGAGCCGAAGGGAAACCGAGUCUUAACUGGGCGUUAAGUUGCAGGGUAUAGACCCGAAACCCGGUGAUCUAGCCAUGGGCAGGUUGAAGGUUGGGUAACACUAACUGGAGGACCGAACCGACUAAUGUUGAAAAAUUAGCGGAUGACUUGUGGCUGGGGGUGAAAGGCCAAUCAAACCGGGAGAUAGCUGGUUCUCCCCGAAAGCUAUUUAGGUAGCGCCUCGUGAAUUCAUCUCCGGGGGUAGAGCACUGUUUCGGCAAGGGGGUCAUCCCGACUUACCAACCCGAUGCAAACUGCGAAUACCGGAGAAUGUUAUCACGGGAGACACACGGCGGGUGCUAACGUCCGUCGUGAAGAGGGAAACAACCCAGACCGCCAGCUAAGGUCCCAAAGUCAUGGUUAAGUGGGAAACGAUGUGGGAAGGCCCAGACAGCCAGGAUGUUGGCUUAGAAGCAGCCAUCAUUUAAAGAAAGCGUAAUAGCUCACUGGUCGAGUCGGCCUGCGCGGAAGAUGUAACGGGGCUAAACCAUGCACCGAAGCUGCGGCAGCGACACUAUGUGUUGUU
rnacentral:rRNA from 1 species